AGAUGGAUUCAACACAAAGCUGUAGAAAUUGGUGUGGUAUCCAACGGUGGAUAUGGAACCUCAAAAACAAUUGUCGUUUCUCUGGACAAUCAAAGCCAACGUCUUUUGUUUAACUGUGGUGAAGGAACAAUCAGGACUUUUAAUGCAUACAGGAGCUCUGUACCCUAUCUAAGGAAAACUUAUCGUAUCAAUGACAUCUUCAUCAC